UAGCAUAUCAAUAAGCGGAGGAAAAGAAACUAACAAGGAUUCCCCUAGUAGCGGCGAGCGAAGCGGGAAGAGCUCAAAUUUAUAAUCUGGCACCUUCGGUGUCCGAGUUGUAAUCUCUAGAAAUGUUUUCCGCGUUGGACCGCACACAAGUCUGUUGGAAUACAGCGGCAUAGUGGUGAGACCCCCGUAUAUGGUGCGGACGCCCAGCGCUUUGUGAUACAUUUUCGAAGAGUCGAGUUGUUUGGGAAUGCAGCUCAAAUUGGGUGGUAAAUUCCAUCUAAAGCUAAAUAUUGGCGAGAGACCGAUAGCGAACAAGUACCGUGAGGGAAAGAUGAAAAGCACUUUGGAAAGAGAGUUAACAGUACGUGAAAUUGUUGGAAGGGAAACGCUUGAAGUCAGACUUGCUUGCCGAGCAAUCGGUUUGCAGGCCAGCAUCAGUUUUCCGGGAUGGAUAAUGGUAGAGAGAAGGUAGCAGUUUCGGCUGUGUUAUAGCUCUCUGCUGGAUACAUCUUGGGGGACUGAGGAACGCAGUGUGCCUUUGGCGGGGGUUUCGACCUCUUCACACUUAGGAUGCUGGUGGAAUGGCUUUAAACGACCCGUCUUGAAACACGGACCAAGGAGUCUAACAUGCUUGCGAGUAUUUGGGUGUCAAACCCGGAUGCGUAAUGAAAGUGAAUGGAGGUGGGAACCGCAAGGUGCACCAUCGACCGAUCUGGAUUUUUAAUGAUGGAUUUGAGUAAGAGCACGUAUGUUGGGACCCGAAAGAUGGUGAACUAUGCCUGAAUAGGGCGAAGCCAGAGGAAACUCUGGUGGAGGCUCGUAGCGGUUCUGACGUGCAAAUCGAUCGUCAAAUUUGGGUAUAGGGGCGAAAGACUAAUCGAACCAUCUAGUAGCUGGUUCCUGCCGA
rnacentral:rRNA from 1 species